UACGAAGGGGGCUAGCGUUGCUCGGAAUCACUGGGCGUAAAGGGUGCGUAGGCGGGCCUUUAAGUCAGAGGUGAAAUCCUGGAGCUCAACUCCAGAACUGCCUUUGAUACUGAGGAUCUUGAGUUCGGGAGAGGUGAGUGGAACUGCGAGUGUAGAGGUGAAAUUCGUAGAUAUUCGCAAGAACACCAGUGGCGAAGGCGGCUCUCUGGGACGGUACUGACGCUGAGACGCGAAAGCGUGGGGAGCGAACAGG
rnacentral:rRNA from 1 species